AUGGCGUGGAUGUUCCCGUGCGCCGUGUGGGCGACGAUGGCGUCGGCCGUGGCGACGGCAGCGACCACGGACGGCGCUUCGAGCGUUGAGCAGGGCAGCUCCUCGUCGCCGGCGUUCGGCCCUGGCGACGCUAAGGUGGCUUCCGACCCGGGCUCCUCCCCGGCGUUGAGGUCGUCCACCUCCUCCUCCUUGCUCGGCGCCCGAAGCAGCUCGUCGAACAGCGCGCGCUCACCGGUGAGGGAGGGCGGUGACACGGCCGCACGGAAGGGCGACGCGCUAAGGCGGUGCCUGCACAGGUUCGCCAGAAAUCUGCAGCGCGCCGGUGCUGCGGACGAGCGGUCAGACGGGCGCGGGAGACGGAAGGGCCGGGCCACGAAGCCGGACGGGAGGGUCGCCGCCGGCGAGGACGGCACCGCCCGGGCGAGGGAGGAGGCCGUCGCGAGCGCGAUCGCCUACUGCAAGGAGUCGAGCCGGCAGCGCUGCAGGACGCCGUUGGCUCCCUCGCCCAGCUUGGACGGCUGGCUCCUCGUUCGUCCGGAGGAGGAGAUCGGCACCAGCGCCACGAGCGCCGUCUCGCCCUGCGAAUGCGAGGCGCAGGGCACCUCGAGCGCCGCCGCCCCCCACCACGGCCACGCGGCCUGCGACGCAGAAUGCGGCGGCGGCAGGCCGUCGACGGUGGAAACUCGGCGAGGUCCAGCCGGGGAGAUGGAAAAGGGUGACGCUGUCGACGGGCUUGACGGGGACGUCCUUAGGAUAACGAGUUACUUCGCCGCCAAAUAUGUGCGCGCGAAAAACUUGACAAGAAAAGAGAAAUCCUAUUUCCUGCUCCACCCACCCCACCGCAUCUAUCCAUCUAACAGAAAUAGGCGAAAAGGAGAGGGCGCGCUAGUAAACAAAAAGCGCAGCGGCAACAGCUGUGGCACAGGCAGCAGCGUCAGCCUCAGCCAUAUCAGUCAGUCCAACCCCCGACGCGUCUUCAGUCUUCGCCCCCAGCAAGCCAAAGCCUCCGCCUUUCUCCUCCUUUUCCGCCCAAACAAACCGCCCCCUCCCCUCCCGUCGCCCUCACCUCCGCCCUCGCCGGCAGUAGUAUACGCCCGCCACCAGCUCCGACGACCCGCGCCUUCCCUCACUCCCGCCGUCGCCGCCUCCCGCGCCCGGUCCCCCGUCCUCCCCUCCGCCGCGGGGAUUCUCGUGAUCCCGGUCGCUUAUCCCGCCGCGGCGCGGCGACCGGCGUUUCUGGGCGGAGUUCUGGUUGCGCAGCAGGGGAAGGGGGCGCAGUUCAAUGAUAAAGGAGAUAUCUCCGCCAAAAAAAAGAAGAUAAAGGAGAAGGCAGUGCUUGUGCUUGUGAGCAACUGGAGGAAGCGUAUGUUGGCUUAUGGCAUACGCGGUCUAGCUUUAAUGAGAGGAAGAUAUCCAGCUGGUUGUAUUGUGUAUGCAUACUUAUUUCUUGCUCCCGAUAUCUAA
rnacentral:rRNA from 1 species